CCUGCUGUUCAGCCAGUUGUAGCCUAGGGAUAGUGCGAUUCCAGUAAUGGAGUGGUGCGAAGCUUCCUGACAAUGUAGCCCCGUUUUUCGGUGUGCGCGGCCCGUGAGGGUGCGUGCAUGGAUCCUGCGAGUGACAACGCGGGUGAGGUG
rnacentral:ncRNA from 1 species